GACACAUCAACACUGAACAGGUGAAAUAAUCACCCCCCAGGACAAUGGAACCAAUGUAAACGUAAUGAAACUUAACUGAAGAUUAAUCCACCAACUCAUAGAGAAUAUAAUUCUGUAAGAUUCUUUAGCUUCUUAUACCUCACUGAGAGCAGAGUCAUAUGGAAUCCCUAUGGAGAUGUGAAGGAGGUGUUUUUGUGCUGGGGUAUAUCACUGUGAUAUGGGGUGGGGUGCACAGUGAAAUGAGACUGUACAAAAACCUCAGAGACAAAACCUGCAUUAUAUCUGCCUGAGGAUUGGGACAAUGGGGAGAAACCAUACAAUAUUCUUCAAAUGCUCGUCUAAUAUUGAUAUAACCCCAUUGUAUAUUAUUUAACAUUUUUAAAAAGGUACGUUUUGAUGGAGGGAUGUCAUGACAUGAACCUGAGCAUCAGUUUUUAAAAGGUAUACAAAACUGAAUUCACAACAUCUGUCCUUAUGGAAUCAGGUGUAUGAUAGUAUUACAAUAUUGCAUUUAUUUGAAUGUUUGUUGGAUUCAUUAUCAUGACUUUAAAGCAACCUAUUUAGGUGCAGGGUUUUAGUACAGGCAGUGAAUGGAGACAGAGCACUGUGAUGCUUUUGACUACUGGGGUAAAGGGACACAAGUCACCGUCUCAGCAGCAGCCACAGCCCCCUCUACUCUACUCACUCUUAUGAACUGUGGAACCCCUUCUAACGACAUCUACAGUCUCGGUUGUAUCGCUAAAGGCUUCUCGCCUUCCUCACACACCUUCCAAUGGACAGACGCCAGUGGGAAAGCGCUGACGGACUUUGUCCAGUACCCAGCAGUCCAGAGCGGGGAAACCUACACAGGAGUCAGUCAGCUCCGCGUGGCUAAGAAUGUCUGGGAAAACUCAAAGUCUUUCAGAUGUUCUGUGGAUCAUCCUGGAGGUGCGAAGACAGCAGUCAUCAAUAAACCAGUCCCAAAGUCUCCAACAGUGUCUUUGCUGUCUGCGCCCAUUGGCACCACCCAGUACCUGAUGUGUAUGAUUGAAGAUUUCACCUCCGAGACAGUCAAGGUCACCUGGAAGAAGAAUGACAUGGAGGUGGAGGGCCAGACCCCUACUCUAGGCAAACGGCCGUCAGGCCUCUACUCAGGCAGCAGUCUGCUGAAGGUCACCAACACUGACUGGAACAACAAGGUCAAGUACAGCUGUGUGGUGGAGCACCAGGGUGAAACCAUCAGCAAGACGACCUCCAAAACAGAACCACUGACGGUGACUCUGAACCCACCGCGUGUGAGAGAGGUGUUCUUGGACAACCAAGCAGUGCUGGAAUGUGUCAUCACUGCUACAGACCAGAACACAGUGUCUGGUACCAACAUCACCUGGCACAUCAACGGAGAUAUACAGACAGCUCACAUUGAUCUGAAACCUAUUGAAUCAAAGGGCAACCUGAACAGCAGGGUCAGUACUCUGACCAUAGACCAGACAAGGUGGACCAAUGUGAACAAAGUCCAGUGUUCUGCCAUGAAGAGUGGCGAAGACACACCGGUCAUUCAGGACAUCAGCUUCACCAAAGGAAGUGAAGCCCCUUCUGUGUCCGUCCACAUUCUCCCAGAGGAAGACACCAAGAAGGAUGGGGAUGUGACUCUGGUGUGCCUGGUGGUCAGCCCGUCUCUCUGUGACGUCUACAUCAUGUGGAAGGAGGACAGUGGCGAGUACCAGGAGGGGGUCACCAGCCCUCCUCAGAAAACCAAGAAAGGCAACUACUUCGUCACCAGCGUCUUCACCACCACCAAGGAUAAGUGGGACACAAAUGUGCUUUUCACAUGCGCCGUCAAGCAUGCUGGCUCAGACAACAGCACCUCACCUAAGGAGAUGAGUGUGUCGAAGUCCACGGCGAACAUCCUACCGACUGAGCCUGAGGCGGGCUUCGCUCUAAGCUGCACGGACAACUUUGAGGAUGAGUUCGGCAGCCUGUGGUCCACCACCUCCUCCUUUAUCAUUCUCUUCCUUCUCUCUCUCACCUACAGCACAGUGCUCAGCCUUUUCAAGAUGAAGCGGUGAAGAACACAUGAUGGACUGCAGAGAUAGAUGUGUCUAGAUUAGAAAGAUAAUGGUCUGGGAUGGUUAUGGAGUAUAGUAGUGUUCUUCAGUAAUAAUGUUAUGUAUAUAUCCUAUACAUUAUUGUUUUUGAUUGAUUAGUAUUGUUGUUCUCAAUAUUAUACAAGCAUUGUGGUGAUAUGUUAUUUUUCAUUCAUUGGUUCAUUUUGUACAGUAUCUUUAAAUAUAAGUGUAUACUGUGAUGUCUGUGUGUCCUUUUUCCCUUUAAGUUGUUGUAUUUCUUUUUACAUCCACUGGAUGCUAAUACUGGGACAAGGACACAUCCUAUAUACAAAGACAUUACUGAUUGGAUUGUUUCUGCUUGGCAGUUAUCUAUGGAGCCAAUGUACAGCUGUAUUCCCUCCCAGGACAGAUUUAAACAACGUUAUGCUAUAUCUGUCAUAUUUAACUAAAACUUCAUUAUUCU